AGCGGUGCUGCUGAUGCUCACCUCAUUGCAACAGCACCGCGGCAGGUCCCCAGCGCUGGUGGCCCCUCGAGGGACUUCCUGAGGAAGCUGCUCCCCCACCCUCCUCCCCAUACGCUGACCCCGAGCCCUCGCAGCCUCCCACGUCGCUCCCCCGGGACCGUGCCGAGCUCGGGGCCGGGGUGACCCGCUUGGAAGGAACCUGCCCUGAACUCCUCGUGAACCGGGAGGUGGGUGAAGGAAUAAUUCACACGCCAAGCAGCUUCUCUUAUAAAAAUGUGCAUGAAGGCUUUAGGUAAGCAGGGCAGGAAGAAGCAGACCCUUUUUUGAAAUCUUGCACGGAGUUAUCUCCGCAGCGGAGCAGCUGAAGCUUUCCUCCUGCCCUAGAGCCAGUGCUUGUUUACAUCUCCUUACAAUCAAAUUACAUUAACCAUCCAGAGUGAUGCAGCAGA